AUUGAACGCUGGCGGCAGGCCUAACACAUGCAAGUCGAACGGUAACAGGAAGCAGCUUGCUGCUUCGCUGACGAGUGGCGGACGGGUGAGUAAUGUCUGGGAAACUGCCUGAUGGAGGGGGAUAACUACUGGAAACGGUAGCUAAUACCGCAUAACGUCGCAAGACCAAAGAGGGGGACCUUCGGGCCUCUCGCCAUCGGAUGUGCCCAGAUGGGAUUAGCUAGUAGGUGGGGUAACGGCUCACCUAGGCGACGAUCCCUAGCUGGUCUGAGAGGAUGGCCAGCCACACUGGAACUGAGACACGGUCCAGACUCCUACGGGAGGCAGCAGUGGGGAAUAUUGCACAAUGGGCGCAAGCCUGAUGCAGCCAUGCCGCGUGUAUGAAGAAGGCCUUCGGGUUGUAAAGUACUUUCAGCGGGGAGGAAGGGAGUAAAGUUAAUACCUUUGCUCAUUGACGUUACCCGCAGAAGAAGCACCGGCUAACUCCGUGCCAGCCGCCGCGGUAA
rnacentral:rRNA from 1 species